rnacentral:rRNA from 1 species
UACGUAGGCAGCGAGCGUUGUUCGGAGUUACUGGGCGUAAAGAGUGCGUAGGCGGUGCUCCAAGUCUGGUGUGAAAUCUCCCGGCUUAACCGGGAGGGUGCGCCGGAAACUGGGGUGCUGGAGUGUGGGAGAGGUAAGCGGAAUUCUCGGUGUAGCGGUGAAAUGCGUAGAUAUCGAGAGGAACACCUGCGGCGAAGGCGGGUUGCUGGGCUGACACUGACGCCGAUGCGCGAAAGCUAGGGGAGCGAACGGG